GGCACCUGGAGACUCUGCCAAAGUUGGGAAGUACUGCGGUGGGGGCGCCCGCGGCGACACAGGAACGGGCGUCGGGGUGAAGCUACCACCGAGCCCGCGGGGUUCCGAGGAAGCUUGCGUCGCCGGCGCGCUCUGGGGCCGGGGGGUUUUGUCGGGGAAGGUCACCUGGCGCCCACCAGGCCUCUGCCUGGGCACCCUGCCCCGGCGCCGCGCGUCCCGGCGGCCUCAAAGGCAAGCUUCUUCGAAUGGCUCACUUUUUUCGUAGAUGAGCGACUGCCUCUUUAAAUACUACCUUAAAAAAAAUAAAUAAAUAAACAAAUCAGGGUUGGAAUUCCUUCUGCACGUAGCACACACUUUCUGGCAUCGGAACUGAGCUCUUCAAGGCCAGGAUGGUGAAUAGCUACCACUGUGCUCCCCUUACUGCGACUCAACCGUUUACUUUCAACAAACGUGUGUGGAGCUCCGACUCGGGUGGGGGAAACGACUCUAGGUUUGGUGUGCAGGCACCUGGGUUCUGUCACUUGAAGUUACAUGUUCUUUGAGCCUUGGUUUUCUCGCCUAGAAAAGCUUCAAAAUGAUCUAUGAAAACUUGUAAUCACUGCUUCAUCGCUGAAAGGAGCUGCUAACAAGCAUCAAAUGAGGUAGAAAAUGGUUUCUACGGAUGUGGCUCUGAUUCAGCCAGCAGAACCAAAGGUGGCUCAAUAACAAACAUGUCCUGUAACACCUGUUUUCAGAAAUAUGCAGAAACAAGAUUUGACAUCUUCGGAACCAGAAACUAGUCUAUGGAAAACUCUUCCAACCAUUGUACGUAUGGAAUUUUAAGCAUAAGCAGGAGCAGCAACAAGGACACUCCAUGCCUGAGGUGGGGGAGGCCUGGGACAAGAAGGAGCUAACGGGCUAUUGAUUGGCAGGUAUGAAGGAGUGAAGAUAGGACGAGGCCCAGAUGGAUGGCAAAGCCAAGGAAGAAAGGGUAGCAGCUAAGCUCCAAAGACCAAGUAUGAGAGCAUCCACCCAAGGAUCCAUCCUGCCCAUCCUGCACAUUCUGAAUGUGUGGUGCACACAUUUGCAAAGUGGCUUUCACCCCUUCAUCACACUGAGGAAGGCUUCCCAAGGAAGGACAACCUCGGAAGGGGUCCACCUCUCCAAACUGUGGAUCAGGCCUUAUUGGAGAAGGAUUCGUGGCAGCCCCUGGGACGGCGGAGAAAUUUCCCGGUGCAUUGGCCGCAACUGCUCUUUGGUUGCCAGAUAAGGAUGAAGCAAUGUGCGGGAGCCCAGAUCUCCUGUCUGUAUAUAUGAGCUGAAAAAUGCCUUCAGGGAAGGUUUUGCCUUUGAGAACGGAUGUGGUGAAAUGAACGUGGUGCGCUGGAGUAGGAAUCAGAAAAUUUGACCUUGCUGUGUGAGUUUGAGCCCAUUGGCUUGCCUCUCUGAGCCUCAGUUUCCCCGAAUGAAAAUGGGAACCUUGAGUAAGCCGCCUUCCCGCCCGCUGUAUUGCAGCAUUUCAUAAGGCUCCGUAGAGAGUAAAAGCGUUCGUGUUGUGGUUGCAUACCCCUUGUGCUCUCUUUCUGCGGCUAAAACUGGAGCUUCUGCAGAUAUAUGUUGAUUUCAGCAAAGGAGUAGGCAGAAGAGAGCCUCAAAUGGGAGCAAUAGGCACUCUGGACGCCCUGACGGCAGAGUCUGGAGAACGGAAAAGCCAACUUUUCUCCCCUUGUGCUUGCAAUUGGGGAAGAGUGAGGAGCCGGGAAAGGUAAAUGCUGUCAUCUGCUGGUCAUUUCCUGUGUAGCAGCAUCAAAUUAAUAGUUUUGCAAAGCUCUCGUUCAAAGUUAGCUAAGGACCUGGAGGGAGGAGGAGGCAUUUGCUGAGCACCUACUGGUUAUAAGGGACUAUCUUCAAGGAUGCUAUGAACAGAGAUAUGACCUAGCCCUGGAUGCUGCCAAUAAGGAGAACACGGACCGCAGGGAGCCAGGGCCGCCUCCCUGUGCCUGUGUGCCUCCAGCACACCCUUUGACCUCUCUGAGCUUCAGGUUUCUCAUCAGGUGCGUGGACUAGGAUGGUCUCCAAGGAUCUUGAAAGAUGAAGAGAAUAUUACAGAUGGGCACUGGGAAGGAAAGGAGGAGGGCAUUAAGAGAAGCCCUUGGAAAGUCUGACAGAUGUCCUCUUCCCUUGUGCCCGUGUUUGUGACACCGUGGGCUGGGCUCCAGAUCGCUAAGCACCUGCCCUCCUCUGACUUCUGUUCAGGGGAAGGGACAGUGGAGUCGGAAAGACUUCUUGAAGGAAGACUGGAACCAACGCCUGUGUUGUCCCCACCAGUUUUAAGAAAUGGAACCAUAUAGUUGCCUCUGAAGUCACCCAUUAUAUGAAUAUAUUAUCAUUUCUUUUUUUUUUUUAAUUUUUUUCAACGUUUUUUAUUUAUUUUUGGGACAGAGAGAGACAGAGCAUGAACGGGGGAGGGGCAGAGAGAGAGGGAGACA